ensembl:lncRNA
AUUUUUAUUUUUUUUUUAACCUUCCGGGGGUUUUUGGAGGCCUUAACAUACUCAAAAACUCUUGAAAAUUGGCACACACAUUGGAACCUGCGGCCAUCAGGGCGCCGCAGAGGCUGGGACCCGGGCGUGGCACAGGGGCUCUACGGCGCCCCCUGGAACACAGUCAGAAAUCUUGAACCAUAGCUCACACAUACUUGCAUGUAUUUAUAUGAAACUCUGUACACUUAUAGAUCUCAUUGAGCCGAACAACUUUCGCGCUCUAUGACAAAGGCUCCGCCCAACAGGAAGUCAGCUAUUCAGGGCUGUUUAAAAAAAGCAUGCUCUGGAAUUUGAAAUACUCCUCUGAGGUUUUCCACCCGUUCUCCACGAAACUCGGUGAACAUGAUCUCAAGACAUUGGGGAUGAAAAAUUGCCAGGGGAUUUUUGAUAUCUCGAACGGUUUGUCCGUGGUGAGGCGUUGAAAUUAGGGCAAAAAAUGAGAAACAGGAAAUGUCUAAUAACAUCCACAUACACUACCUGAGUUUUAUCAAACUUCAUCGGAUUGUUCGAUGUAUGAUGCCGAUCGAAUAGAUGUGACUAUUAGGAGUCAAAGGUAUAGCGCCACCAACUGGCAGCAGGAAGUGUGUCAUUUUCAAAAUGCUUUGAAUUCAGCAUCUUAUUUUCACUCGAUUUGCUUCAAACUUCAUCAGAAUAAUGACAAAACACGGCCGAUGUAAAUCUGUUGUGGGGAUAUUGAUAUCUAAUAUAGUGUUGCCGUGGCAACGUGUCAAUCUUGAAUAUUCUGUUCUGGUGAUUUUGAGGCAGAUAAAAUGCUCAGAAUUACACAAAACUCCAAACACAUAUCAGUAUUAAUGAUAGCUAGACAUUGGCAAAAGCACAUGAAAGGGCGUGGAGGAGGCACUCUAUAGCGCCACCUUUUGUCAAAAGUGGGGGGGUUAGUUUUAGCUAUAAACACCAAACUUGGUACAUAUAUUGUUCUUAUCAAGACGGACAACUUUCUAAUUUACAGUCAUCAGCUGCGACCUACAGGAAGUCGGCUAUUUUGGUUUAAAUGUGGAUUUUUGGAAAAAAAUAUGGCUGUGAAUUAAUGCAUACUCCGCAGAGGAGAAUUACACUAUACACACCAAACUUUUUCUACAUGAUGCCAAUAUACUGAAGAUGUUAAAUUGCGAACGGGUUUAGGAUACCUUGAACGGUGUGGCCAUAGCGAUUUAUUAAAGUAACAUUAAAAAAUGCAACAGUUAUUUUCCUAUAUCUUUUGAAUUCUUUAUUCUAACCCUUCAUAAUUUUUUACACAUGUAGUAGAAGUCAUUCUUAGAAAACACAGUAAUUUUCAUAAAUUUAUCAUGUUCA